GCAAAUUUUUGCGUAAAUAUCUGCAACCCAUUGAUGUAAGAUUGUUGAUAAAAAAACAGAUCUUAGAUUUUCAUAUUUUCGAAAAUGUUUUAGAGCUUAAAACCUUACUAACGGUUUAAGAAAAAUGCAUAAAACAUCAAUUUAUGAACUUAAAUAUAAAAAUCCGCGAUCUAAUUUUUUGUCAGCAGUCUUAUUAACUGGUUUCCAUGGAUUGUAGCGAAAAUUGGCUUGUUCCAAGACAAAAAUUAAAAAGUUGUCGAAAUGUUUAAUCUGUGAUAGUGCAGCUUUAAUUAUGGUAGCUUUUCAGUCAUUUGCCUAUAUAUGUCUAUUUGAUUCAGUAAAUACUUCAUAAUAUUAAAGCUAGGCUUAUUAGGAUAUGCUUAUUUUUCAUUGGGUUCUAUUUUUAGCACAUAACAGCUUCAUUACAAGAAUAUAUUAAUUAUUAUUAAAGCUGCAUGCACUCUCACAAAUUUACCGUUUUUACAACUUUUUUAUUUUUUUUGUCUUGGAAAGAGCAAAUUUUUGGGUUUAAUAGUAUCUGCAAACCAAUGAUAAAAGACUGCUGACAUAGAUCAUAUCGCAGAUUUGCAUAUUUUCGUUUGAAAGCCAAUGUUUUGUGGGUUAAACUAUUACUAACAGUUAAAGAAAAAUGCAUGAUCUAAUUUUUUGUCAGCAGUUUUAUAUCACUGGUUUUCAUGGAUUCUUGAAAAAAAAAAUACUUCCUCUGUUGGCCAAUUGAGAACAAAAUCAAGAGGUUUUGGGUUUUGCUGUUUAUAUGUUCUGGAAUUUUUCAAAAGCAUUUAUUUAUAGGACUUAUGAAUUUUAUGUACAGCAUUCUGUAUAUUGUCAAGUGUCCUUUUUUAAAUUAUAUACAACAUGUAUAAAUUUAAUGUUUCAGGAAAUAACCACCAUCUCUCUCAGAGGUCAUCUUUCUCAUUAUUGUGGGAAACCUCAAAGGGCAUCAGGAAAACCUUCAUCAACCUCUUUGUGCCCAGUGGCUUGUGCAACAGUGUUUCAGAAAUUAUCAUUAAAAUGGGGAUAAUGGAUGACUGGCCACACAUAUGGGGCUAUGGACAAGCUUCAGAGCAGGCUGCCAGGUGGUGGUGUUAGUAGUUUAUACUCUGGGUCCCGGCGUGAGCACAUUGAAGGGUCCCAGAGUGACAGUUCAACCACCCACACCUAUCCUGGGCAGAACCAGUACUAGGUGCCUUCACCUCUGCAAGGAACUGACAGCUUCUGUACAUGCCAGGUGCAGUGGUACAGUGCGAAUGGUCGUAGAAAGGAUUUCAUAACCAAUCACAACAGAGGUCACCUGGUCCGCCCGGGAAUCGAACCCGGGAUGUCCAAUUCAGAGUCCAACGCUCUACCGAUUGAGCUGACCGGGCGGACAUAUUAGCUACAUUAGAUGACAAGCCAUCUAUGCUGGACAUUCUUCACAAUAAAAUGUGAUGUCACAGGAGCUGUCUAUCUCAACAGCUCACACUGUCCGUAUUUGACUAAAGGAAUGAAUGAAGUCACUGCAGAAGUUAGAUUGAGGAAUGUCCAUGUCACUACCCAUCAUUUGGAAGGAGUUGGAUAAAAAAAGUGUGGCCUAUGUAUUGAAACAGGUCCGAUUUCCAGUUACGGACAGUCUUGAUUUGUCUGAUUACAUUUUUGACCAACAUGAUGGUCUAAAAGAACACUUACUGGUAACUGGUAAAAUCAUGGCCCAGUUGUUCCAAGAGGCAGGCGAGUGGGAAGUUACUAGACUCCAUUUCUUUAUGGGUUGAUCUGAGGUUCCAGUUCAGUUAAAGUACUGAUAGAACACCAAGUGUUUGCCAUAAUACAGCAACAUUUCAUUUGUAACUAUGUAUUUGUUUGAAUUGUUGAAACAGUACUGUUUACUAAAUAAUGUGUAUGUAUAUGAAGAAUAAUAUUAUAAAUAAUUUGUAAGAACCUUUUGAUAUUAAGUAAAAUGUCGAUAAGUCUAAAUAUGUAUCUGCGAAUCAUUUUUGUAUCUCUGUAAAGAUUACAUUGCCUAUAUUCCUCAAUUUAUAUUUUUCUUUUAGCCAGUCAAUAACUUUGUUAAGUUCUAUCUUCAAAAUUGUCGGGACAGGGAUUAUAGCCCUUAAUUAACCCAAAUAUGUAACAUUCAAUGCAAAAUUGGCUGCAAUUAGGCAGUUCAGAUGCAGGAACAAACAUCACUUGGGUCCUUAAUAAUAGCUUUCCAUCUGACAUUGAAGAUCCAAUAAAAGGAAUUUGUCAUGUGACUGUUUAUUAACUCUCAAUUUAUUGAAAGUGAAAUUACGUACAUGAUUUGUAAGAACUAAAUUAUAAAGAUAUCAAAUGAUUGUUUAAAUUAAAUAAAAUAGAUGAUUACAUACAUGAACUAUUUUUAUUAUUGUUUGUCAUAUGAAGAAUAAUGCAAUGGCUUUUGAAUUUUAUAAAAGGAUGGAAAAAAUAUAUGCUUAAGCUAUUAAUUAAGUAUUUUUUUCUCUUUUUUUUCAAACUGUGCUAUCUUAUAAAACAAAUAAAAUAGAUGAUUACAUACAUGAAUUAUUUUUAUUUCUUGUUUGUCAAUAUGAAGAGUAAUGCAAUGGCUUUUGAAUUUCAUAAAAAAGGAUGGAAAAAUGUAUGUUUAUUGUUUAAGCAAUUAAUUAAGUAAUAAAAGUUUGUUUUUUUCUUUUUUUCAAAUUGUGCUAUCUUAUAAUACAGAUCGUUAUUUGUUUAAUUUUGGUACAAAUGAAGUAUAUAAGGUAUGUCUAAUGUUACAAAUAGCAAAAAUUCAAAUGCAAAUCAUGGUGACUUGACUAAAUGUGAAUGCUAAUUGAAUCAAAAUAGUUAAUAAAUAAUAAUGUUCAUUUGAAACAAUUGAGAGUAUAAGUUUGGUUUGUGUAUGCCAUAUAUUCCCGGGGGGGGGGGGGAAUGAAAAAAUGAAAAGUAUAUUACUAUGCGCAGUGCUAUAAUAAUUAAUAAGUAAAUGUUUUUGUGAUCACAAUUUGUCCGGCGUCCGUCUGUCGUCCGUCCGUCCGUAAACUUUUACUUUAAACGACAUCUCCUCAUAAACCGCUUAGCCAAUUUCUUCCAAACUUUACAGGAAUGUUCCUUGGGUGGUCCCCUUUGAAAAUUGUUCAAAGAAUGGAAUUCCAUGCAGAACUCUGGUUGCCAUGGCAACGGAAAGGAAAAACUUUAAAAAUCUUAUUUUUCAAAACCACAAGGCCUAGAGCCUUAAUAUUUGGUAUAUAGCAUCAUCUAGUGGUCCUCUACCAAAAUUGUUAAAACUAUCCCCCUGGGGUCAAAAAUGGCCCUGCCCCGGGGGUCACUUGUUUUACAUAGACUUAUAUAGGGAAAACUUUAAAAAUCUUCUUCUCAAAAACCACAAGGCCUAGAACCUUGAAAAUUCUCCUGGGGUCAAAAAUGGCCCCGCCCCAGGGGUCACUAGUUUCAUUACAUAGUGUUAUAUAGUAAAUCUUUAAAAAUCUUCUCCGAAACUGUAAGGCCCAGGGCUUAGAUAUUUGGUAUACAGCAUCAUCUAGUGGACCUCUACCAGAUUUGUUCAAAUUAUUGCCACAGGGUCAAAAUUGACCCCGCCUAGGGGGUCCUUGUUUUUACGUAGUGUUAUAUAGUAAAUCUUUAAAAAUAUUCUUCUCCAGAACCGUAAGGCCAGGAGAAUAGAUAUUUGGUAUACAACAUCAUCUUGUGGACCUCUAUCAAAGUUGUUCAAAUUAUUGCCACAGGGUCAAAAUUGGCCCCGCCCUGAAAGUUAUUUGUUUUUAUAUAGUCUUAUAUAAUAAAACUUUAAAAAUC